rnacentral:rRNA from 1 species
UGAAGGUGUACUGUGAGGUAUGCUGGAGGUAUCAGAAGUGCGAAUGCUGACAUAAGUAACGAUAAAGCGGGUGAAAAGCCCGCUCGCCGGAAGACCAAGGGUUCCUGUCCAACGUUAAUCGGGGCAGGGUGAGUCGACCCCUAAGGCGAGGCCGAAAGGCGUAGUCGAUGGGAAACAGGUUAAUAUUCCUGUACUUGGUGUUACUGCGAAGGGGGGACGGAGAAGGCUAUGUUGGCCGGGCGACGGUUGUCCCGGUUUAAGCGUGUAGGCUGGUUUUCCAGGCAAAUCCGGAAAAUCAAGGCUGAGGCGUGAUGACGAGGCACUACGGUGCUGAAGCAACAAAUGCCCUGCUUCCAGGAAAAGCCUCUAAGCAUCAGGUAACAUCAAAUCGUACCCCAAACCGACACAGGUGGUCAGGUAGAGAAUACCAAGGCGCUUGAGAGAACUCGGGUGAAGGAACUAGGCAAAAUGGUGCCGUAACUUCGGGAGAAGGCACGCUGAUAUGUAGGUGAAGCGACUUGCUCGUGGAGCUGAAAUCAGUCGAAGAUACCAGCUGGCUGCAACUGUUUAUUAAAAACACAGCACUGUGCAAACACGAAAGUGGACGUAUACGGUGUGACGCCUGCCCGGUGCCGGAAGGUUAAUUGAUGGGGUCAGCGCAAGCGAAGCUCUUGAUCGAAGCCCCGGUAAACGGCGGCCGUAACUAUAACGGUCCUAAGGUAGCGAAAUUCCUUGUCGGGUAAGUUCCGACCUGCACGAAUGGCGUAAUGAUGGCCAGGCUGUCUCCACCCGAGACUCAGUGAAAUUGAACUCGCUGUGAAGAUGCAGUGUACCCGCGGCAAGACGGAAAGACCCCGUGAACCUUUACUAUAGCUUGACACUGAACAUUGAGCCUUGAUGUGUAGGAUAGGUGGGAGGCUUUGAAGUGUGGACGCCAGUCUGCAUGGAGCCGACCUUGAAAUACCACCCUUUAAUGUUUGAUGUUCUAACGUUGACCCGUGAUCCGGGUUGCGGACAGUGUCUGGUGGGUAGUUUGACUGGGGCGGUCUCCUCCUAAAGAGUAACGGAGGAGCACGAAGGUUGGCUAAUCCUGGUCGGACAUCAGGAGGUUAGUGCAAUGGCAUAAGCCAGCUUGACUGCGAGCGUGACGGCGCGAGCAGGUGCGAAAGCAGGUCAUAGUGAUCCGGUGGUUCUGAAUGGAAGGGCCAUCGCUCAACGGAUAAAAGGUACUCCGGGGAUAACAGGCUGAUACCGCCCAAGAGUUCAUAUCGACGGCGGUGUUUGGCACCUCGAUGUCGGCUCAUCACAUCCUGGGGCUGAAGUAGGUCCCAAGGGUAUGGCUGUUCGCCAUUUAAAGUGGUACGCGAGCUGGGUUUAGAACGUCGUGAGACAGUUCGGUCCCUAUCUGCCGUGGGCGCUGGAGAA